GGCGGAGCGAUGCAAUAGCUGGCCAACCAUAACUUUUUCUGGGUCAUGUGGGUCGUCUUCUUCCUCUCUCGGGUAUAGACUUGGUCAUGGCUGCAAAGGUUACACAUGCCUGAGGUAGGAGGAGCCGACAACUGGUCCUCAUCUUCUCUUUCUCCGGUCGCACCACAUAGGAUGCGGAUCCGGCGACGCAUGGGUUCAUAACCCAUUUGUUCAAAUGCUAUAAGCAAAGUUUUUUUUGGGUAAAGGGGAGUCCCAUGGGGAAACCAUAUCCCUCAUACAUUAACAAGAUCUCA
rnacentral:lncRNA from 1 species